rnacentral:lncRNA from 1 species
AGAUUAGGCAAAACUGCGUUUGGCAUCAUAUCAGUUUCAAAUUAUACAAUUGAACAAAAUUGCAACAUCACAAGGAUAAAAAACAAAAAAAAACUGCAAAAGCCGAUCAUAUGAUUGAGAAUAUUUAAAAUAAUUAUAUGCGAAUGCUGCGAAGAAUCAUCUCUUCGCGUAAAGAAAAAUAAUUAAUGUGGUGAUUGUUCAUCU